rnacentral:rRNA from 1 species
GACGAACGCUGGCGGCGUGCCUAAUACAUGCAAGUCGAGCGCAGGAAACUGACGGAACUCUUCGGAGGGAAGGCAGUGGAAUGAGCGGCGGACGGGUGAGUAACACGUAAGGAACCUGCCUCAAGGAUUGGGAUAACUCCGAGAAAUCGGAGCUAAUACCGGAUAGUUCAACGGACCGCAUGGUCCGCUGAUGAAAGGCGCUCCGGCGUCACCUUGAGAUGGCCUUGCGGUGCAUUAGCUAGUUGGUGGGGUAACGGCUCACCAAGGCGACGAUGCAUAGCCGACCUGAGAGGGUGAUCGGCCACACUGGGACUGAGACACGGCCCAGACUCCUACGGGAGGCAGCAGUAGGGAAUCUUCCACAAUGGACGAAAGUCUGAUGGAGCAACGCCGCGUGAGUGAUGAAGGUUUUCGGAUCGUAAAACUCUGUUGUAAGGGAAGAACACGUACGAGAGGAAAUGCUCGUACCUUGACGGUACCUUACGAGAAAGCCACGGCUAACUACGUGCCAGCCGCCGCGGUAACAC